AAUGGUUUCAGAACUCACAGAGUUAAAGAGUUCUGGUGACGUCUCUUUCCUGAGGCGUGGUUAGAAACACUUAAGGGAGGGGUUUGACUCCGUGUGUUUCAGUCUGACUUUCGGACGUGAUGCGAAAGGGAGAAUGUGUCAGUUCUCGCCAGGUCUGAAUUUAUGAUGUUAUUCUUCAUGAUUAAAAGGCAAGAGUAGAUAAGGACUGCCUUGUGUCUGGACUGAUUUAUUCCACACGUGCUGCACUCUGCUUCUCACCGCUGUGUUUCGCUCUGCUACCGGCAAGAGAAAGAGGCCUGAGGAGGAUUUUUGCAGGAGGCACGGAUAGCUUGCAGAGUUCCGCAACGGAAGCGUGCCGGGCUCCAUGUUCAGUCUCUGUGUACCCUCUUGUCCGGUGUAAAUAAUUCCAACAGGUUAUGGAAGCUCGCCAAAGCUUUGAAGCAUUGCAGGAACGUCCCACGUGUGGGGAAGCCAGCAGGAAAGUUGCUGGGGUCCAGCUGGAGCUCUGGAGCUGUGUCUUUGAAGCUGGAAGGAGCUCGCUGGGGAGAAGCGAUCUGCCGGAGCCGGGAGGCGGAGAAAGCUACUGCCGGGAGAC